GCGCCCGUAGCUCAGCGGAUUAGAGUAUCUGACUACGGAUCAGAGGGUCGCAGGUUCGAAUCCUGCCGGGCGCGCAA
rnacentral:tRNA from 1 species